AUAGUCGAACCAUCAAACUUUUCUCUCUCCUUAUUUUUCUCUGCAACUUUAUAUUUUAACAUAAACAAUUAUCUUCUUUACAGAGUAGUUAUAUUCAACCAUUGGUAGUUAUCUUCAUCUUCUCCAUUUUAUUCUUUUAACCAUCUUCUCAUUUUCUGCCGGAAUUUUAAUUUAAUUUAAGAUUCGGGUAGAUUUAUUUAAUCUAAUAUAUAUCUAAAUAAAACAAAUUGCAUUACAACAAUUGGUAUCGUAAAUAGUUUGUAUUUCUGAUAACGUGUGGCAAGUUUGUGCCAUUACGGUUUCUCAUACCUCUUGGAGGACUUUCGAUUUCAUUCAAUCAUCCACAGACGUGAUGACCAAAGAUUACAUAAUUCGAUGAAGAAUUUGGGCAUAUUACUUCUCUCAUGGAAGCAUCAUAUAUUCUUGGAGAGUAUCCAACAAAAUGGUGAUAAACCAUUAGAAGGUUUCAAUUGUGAAAACUACUGUCAAACCCGUUUUUCUGUUUUUUCUACUCUCAAACCCACAGGCGUACAAAGUCAUGCGCGCACCCAGUUUGACAGACAAAAUUUCUCUCGGGCCCAUAAUUUCCCAAAUUCCAUUUUCGUUUUGUAUUUAUUCCCAAACUAACCUCCAGAGAGGCGAGAGAGAAGGUGAUGAUUUUAUCAACAAAGAGUCGAUGAAGGUCGUCAUCAACAGUGGUUUAUGGUGAUUCAAUCAACAAAGAUGACCUCGCAGAUAAAGUGAAAAGAAAAGCCAUUCUUUGACAGAAUCUGUAUCAUCAAAACUAAGCCACCGGUGUGAAAGUAAAAUGGAACAAUUAGCGUAACAAUGUGGAUGGAAGAGGAUUCACUAAAUAUGUGAAGGGUGGUGAAACCACCAGUAGUCAUCCCAGUCAGGGGUUCAGAUCGUUUAAUGGAAAAAUGUUAGAAUUCGGUCUUUAUUUCACUUUCAGUAGGAGAACUUUUGAACUCUAUUCAAGUUGUGGUCGUCUUGUGGUCUCCUCACUGUACUAAUAUGAUCGUCUUGUGGUCUAUUUUUUUCAUUUGGUUUCUCUUGAGUUUUUUCUAGGAACAACAAAUAAAUCAUUCAUUGUUUUCACCGACUAGCAAGGAGAGAAUAGACUGAGAAUUUGAAUAUUUUUUCUUGCAGAUUG